GUUUCAAUUCCUCAUAGGCAGGCUAUCGGCUACGGAUGAUAUAGACCUGGUCUAUCCUGAAUCCGG
rnacentral:sRNA from 1 species